ACCUCUAAUAGAGUCAGUUAGUCAGCUCUCAUGCUCAGGAACGCUGUGAAAAUGCCAAAAAGUAAACUUUUGGAGGCAGCAAGGAACGGACUUAAAUAUCAAAAAAUAGACACAACAUUUAACCAGUUCUGGAAUGAGAUGAACCUGACCUUCUGGGCCUGCCGUCAUCAGGAGGAGGUGCAGCCACACCAUACAGCAGGAAAUAAAAAAUACAGGAAUACCAUCUAAACCAGCUUGACCUUUUCCACCAGGUAAACCAGGUCGACCAAAAAUGCCUGGGUCUCCGGGCUUUCCUGCGUUUCCUGGAAUACCUGGAGGACCUGGAACUCCAUUCAACCCUUUAGCACCAGGACUCCCAGGUGCACCUAAAGCCAUCAGAAGCAUUUUUUUUUUUUUAAUAAUCCAUUAUGGUCAAUAAAUAAAUAAAUAAAUAAAUAAAACAUUGGCAAUUAAAAAUGGCAGUAUUGAUCAGUUUCAGGUAUUUCAAUAUGUAAUAUGUGUAGC